rnacentral:rRNA from 1 species
UACGUAGGGGGCAAGCGUUGUCCGGAAUCAUUGGGCGUAAAGAGCGUGUAGGCGGUCCGGUAAGUCCGCUCUGAAAGUCCGGGGCUCAACCCCGGGAGGCGGGCGGAUACUGUCGGGCUAGAGUCCGGAAGAGGCAAGUGGAAUUCCCGGUGUAGCGGUGAAAUGCGCAGAUAUCAGGAGGAACACCGAUGGCGAAGGCAGCUUGCUGGGACGGUACUGACGCUGAGACGCGAAAGCGUGGGGAGCAAACAGG